rnacentral:rRNA from 1 species
AUUGAACGCUGGCGGAAUGCUUUACACAUGCAAGUCGAACGGCAGCACGGACUUCGGUCUGGUGGCGAGUGGCGAACGGGUGAGUAAUACAUCGGAACGUGCCCAGUCGUGGGGGAUAACGUAGCGAAAGCUACGCUAAUACCGCAUACGAUCUAAGGAUGAAAGCGGGGGAUCGCAAGACCUCGCGCGAUUGGAGCGGCCGAUGGCAGAUUAGGUAGUUGGUGGGGUAAAGGCUCACCAAGCCGACGAUCUGUAGCUGGUCUGGGAGGACGACCAGCCACACUGGGACUGAGACACGGCCCAGACUCCUACGGGAGGCAGCAGUGGGGAAUUUUGGACAAUGGGCGCAAGCCUGAUCCAGCCAUUCCGCGUGCAGGAUGAAGGCCCUCGGGUUGUAAACUGCUUUUGUACGGAACGAAAAGGCUCUGGUUAAUACCCGGGGAUCAUGACGGUACCGUAAGAGUAAGCACCGGCUAACUACGUGCCAGCCGCCGCCGUAA